UGGCUCUCGCAUCGAUGAAGAACGCAGCGAAAUGCGAUAAGUAAUGUGAAUUGCAGAAUUCAGUGAAUCAUCGAAUCUUUGAACGCACCUUGCGCCCCUUGGUAUUCCGAAGGGCAUGCCUGUUUGAGUGUCUUGAAAUCAUCAAUCCCUUUCGGUUUCGUUGCCGUUGGGGAUUGGACAUGGGGGCUUUGCUGCGGGGGUUGCAAACCUCAGCGGCUCCCCUCAAAUGCAUCGGCUCGGGCUAUUUCGCGGCUCUGUCCCAUUGGCGUUGUAUCACCCUCGCCUUCCGGGUACAUUUCGCGGUGAUGCCCCGCCUCGACCUGCCUAUGGAGCGGCGGUCAGCUACAAUUCGAGAUCUGACCUCAAAUCAGGUAGGACUACCCGCUGA
rnacentral:misc_RNA from 1 species